rnacentral:sRNA from 1 species
AUGACUUCGGCGGGCUCGUCCGGCAGGCUCACCUGCAGCCCGUAGGCGGCACUCUUGUCGCCGCGGAACGCCACCAGCAGGCGGUUGUUGCCGCAAUCGUGGGGUUUGCAACUGUUGGCCAGGACGUAGGGCUGGCCCUCCAGGCUCAGGC